rnacentral:rRNA from 1 species
UGGGGAAUCUUGCACAAUGGGGGCAACCCUGAUGCAGCGACGCCGCGUGAGCGAUGAAGCCCUUCGGGGCGUAAAGCUCUUUCGACCGGAACGAUAAUGACGGUACCGGGAGAAGAAGCUGCGGCUAACUACGUGCCAGCAGCCGCGGUAAUACGUAGGCAGCAAGCGUUGUUCGGAGUUACUGGGCGUAAAGAGUGCGUAGGCGGUUUUCUAAGUUCGGUGUGAAAUCUCCCGGCUUAACUGGGAGGGUGCGCCGAAGACUGGGAAGCUGGAGUGUGGGAAAGGCAGGCGGAAUUCCUGGUGUAGCGGUGAAAUGCGUAGAUAUCAAGAGGAACACCGGCGGUGUAGACGGCUUGCUAGACCAUAACUGACGCUGAGGCACGAAAGCGUGGGUAGCAAACA